AUUGAACGCUGGCGGCAUGCUUUACACAUGCAAGUCGAGCGGCAGCGCGGGGGCAACCCUGGCGGCGAGCGGCGAACGGGUGAGUAAUGCAUCGGAACGUACCCUGGAGUGGGGGAUAACGCCGCGAAAGCGGCGCUAAUACCGCAUAUGCUCUGAGGAGGAAAGUGGGGGACCGCAAGGCCUCACGCUCUGGGAGCGGCCGAUGUCCGAUUAGCUAGUUGGUGGGGUAAAGGCUUACCAAGGCGACGAUCGGUAGCUGGUCUGAGAGGAUGAUCAGCCACACUGGGACUGAGACACGGCCCAGACUCCUACGGGAGGCAGCAGUGGGGAAUUUUGGACAAUGGGGGGCAACCCUGAUCCAGCCAUGCCGCGUGAGUGAAGAAGGCCUUCGGUUGUAAG
rnacentral:rRNA from 1 species